UAGGGAAUAUUGCACCAUGGGCGAAAGCCUGAUGCAGCAACGCCGCGUGAGUGAAGAAGGCCUUCGGGUCGUAAAACUCUUUUCAAGGGAAAGAGGAAGGACGGUACCCUUGGAAUAAGCAUCGGCUAACUACGUGCCAGCAGCCGCGGUAACACGUAGGAUGCAAGCGUUAUUCGGAUUUACUGGGCGUAAAGCGCGUGUAGGCGGUUAGGAGAGUUGGAUGUGAAAGCUCCCGGCUUAACUGGGAGAGGUCGUUCAAAACUUCCUGACUAGAGUUUGGUAGAGGAAAAUGGAAUUCCGGGUGUAGUGGUGAAAUGCGUAGAUAUCCGGAGGAACACCAGUGGCGAAAGCGAUUUUCUGGACCGAUACUGACGCUCAGACGCGAAAGCUAGGGUAGCAA
rnacentral:rRNA from 1 species